rnacentral:rRNA from 1 species
AGAGUUUGAUCCUGGCUCAGGACGAACGCUGGCGGCGUGCUUAACACAUGCAAGUCGAACGAUCCCGAGGCUUCGGCCUCAAUGGGAGAGUGGCGAACGGGUGAGUAUCACGUGAGAAACCUGCCCCGGAGAUGGGAAUAGCCCAGGGAAACCUGGAUUAAUACCCAAUGCCCUGUCUGCACCGCAUGGUGCGUUCAGGAAAUGCUCUGGUGCUCCGGGCGGGUCUCGCGGCCUAUCAGCUUGUUGGUGAGGUAACGGCUCACCAAGGCAUCGACGGGUAGCUGGUCUGAGAGGACGAUCAGCCACACUGGGACUGAGACACGGSCCAGACUCCUACGGGAGGCAGCAGUGGGGAAUCUUGCGCAAUGGGCGAAAGCCUGACGCAGCAACGCCGCGUGGGGGAAGAAGGCCUUCGGGUCGUAAACCCCUUUCAGCAGGGACGAAAUUGACGGUACCUGCAGAAGAAGCGCCGGCCAACUACGUGCCAGCAGCCGCGGUAAUACGUAGGGCGCAAGCGUUGUCCGGAUUCAUUGGGCGUAAAGGGCUCGUAGGCGGUUUGGUAAGUCGGGUGUGAAAACUCAGGGCUCAACUCUGAGACGCCACUCGAUACUGCCAUGACUAGAGUCCGGUAGAGGAGUGUAGAAUUCCUGGUGUAGCGGUGAAAUGCGCAGAUAUCAUGAGGAAUACCGAUAGCGAAGGCAGCACUCUGGGCCGGUACUGACGCUGAGGAGCGAAAGCGUGGGGAGCAACAGGAUUAGAUACCCUGGUAGUCCACGCCGUAAACGUUGGGCACUAGGUGUGGGUUCCAUCCAACGGAAUCCGUGCCGCAGCUAACGCAUUAAGUGCCCCGACUGGGGAGUACGUCCGCAAGGCUAAACUCAAAGGAAUUGACGGGGGCCCGCA